rnacentral:lncRNA from 1 species
AGAGGAAGCAGCGGCCCUCAGCUAGCCCAGAGGUGUCAGCUUCUCUUCUCACCAAAGCAGCUGCACCGCACCUGACGUCAGGCGCUGCCAAAGGGCCUGGGCUUCCUGUGAGCUAGACUCCCAGUCGCCUUUCUCACUAAAGAGAAGAGUGGGCUUGCCUCUCCUCAGCUCAUGACCCACUCAAAGGCAGCCAGCCUGAGCUCCUGAUGCUGGCAACAUUUGGAUCAUCCUAAGCGUUUGCUAAGUGCCAUCAACACACUGACUUAAGUGGUAGAGGGAUGAGAGCCUGGUGUGGGCUGUGGGGAUGGAGGAGGAGGCGAGCAAGAGGAGAAAGCAGAUGGAGAGGUGUGAGAAGACAAGACCGAAUGGAAACCAGGCACUGGGACUAGACUUUGGUUUCUCCAGCCCUUACUGCACUGUCUGCUCCGUGGGUCUAACCACUCAUCUAAUGACAUCUUCAGCUCUGUCCCUGGCUCUACACUUCGCUGGAACCAACCCACACAAUUAAGCCAUUAUUUUCUACCAUUGCCCAUGGGACAGAAUCCAGAAGGCUUUGUCUAGCCAGGGCUGGCUUUCCACGACUGUGCCUUCCAUCCAGACCAGCUUUAUUUUCCAUUGCUUUACGGGGGGGGGGGGCGGGGGGGGAUCGACUGUACCCAGCCUGGCUUGUCCUUCCCACCACUCCCUUCUGCACAGUUGUACACAGUCAUUUAGCAAAAGACCACCCUGUGGUUCCUGCCUUGUACCAAUCUUGAGCAACAAUGAAGCUACCUGGAUUCCACAGAGGAGAACUCAAGUCUCAGAAGACACGGGUUCCUCCUCAGCUGGAAGAAUCCUGGGCCAGAGAGCUCUAGUCUCAGCUCAGGACCUGUUUAUUUCACCGGUUAAGGUCAUCCCAGUCUCCCUCACUGAAGUGAAAGCACACGGGAACAUGGGCCAUCCUCACUUCCUAUAUUUGGCAAACAAUGAGCACAUUAGUGUCUUAAUCUAUGCAGGCUGCUAAGACAGUACGCCAUAGACCUGUGGACUCUAAGCAACAGAAAUGUAUUGCCCAGAGGAGGCAGGGAAGUUCCAGAUCAGAAUGCUCACAGGUUAUGUCUCCUGAAGGCCCAUCACUUGACCUACAGAAAUCCAUCCUCUUUCUUGUCCUUAUGGCAGAAGACUGAGGGAGCUCUCUGGGAGUUUCUUAUGAGAGCAUCGACCCAUGAACGUUUCACCCUAUUAUCUGAUCAUCACUCAGAGGCCUGCCUCCUGAUGCUACCAUAUUUGGAGUCAGGCUCAACACUCGAAUUCUGAGGCACACAGUCUACUACAGAUGGGUUAUAACUACUCUACAUAAAAAAUUUAAAAAAGCACUAGG